rnacentral:rRNA from 1 species
AUUGAACGCUGGCGGCAUGCUUUACACAUGCAAGUCGAACGGCAGCGCGGGCUUCGGCCUGGCGGCGAGUGGCGAACGGGUGAGUAAUACAUCGGAACGUGCCCAGUAGUGGGGGAUAGCUCGGCGAAAGCCGGAUUAAUACCGCAUACGACCUGAGGGUGAAAGCGGGGGAUCUUCGGACCUCGCGCUAUUGGAGCGGCCGAUGGCAGAUUAGCUAGUUGGUGGGGUAAAGGCCUACCAAGGCGACGAUCUGUAGCUGGUCUGAGAGGACGACCAGCCACACUGGGAGUGAGACACGGCCCAGACUCCUACGGGAGGCAGCAGUGGGGAAUUUUGGACAAAGGGCGAAAGCCUGAUCCAGCAAUGCCGCGUGUGUGAUGAAGGCCUUCGGGUUGUAAAGCACUUUUGGCGGGAACGAAAAGGACUGUGCCAAUACCACGGUUCGAUGACGGUACCCGCAGAAUAAGCACCGGCUAACUACGUG